rnacentral:rRNA from 1 species
GAUGAACGCUGGCGGCGUGCCUAAUACAUGCAAGUCGAGCGAACAGACGAUGAUCUUGCUCCUCUGACGUUAGCGGCGGACGGGUGAGUAACACGUGGAUAACCUACCUAUAAGACUGGUAUAACUUCGGGAAACCGGAUCUAAUCCCGUAUAAUAUAUUGAACCGCAUGGGUCAAUAGUGAAAGACGGUUUUGCUGUCACUUAUAGAUGGAUCCGCGCCGCAUUAGCUAGUUGGUAAGGUAACGGCUUACCAAGGCAACGAGGCGUAGCCGACCUGAGAGGGUGAUCGGCCACACGGGAACUGAGACACGGUCAAGACUCCUACGGGAGGCAGCAGUAGGGAAUCUUCCGCAAUGGGCGAAAGCAUGACGGAGCAACGCCGCGUGAGUGAUGACGGUCUUCGGAUCGUAAAACUCUGUUAUUAGGGAAGAACAAAUGUGUAAGUAACUAUGCACGUAUUGACGGUACCUAAUAAGAAAGCAACGGCUAACUACGUG